rnacentral:rRNA from 1 species
UACGUAGGGUGCGAGCGUUAAUCGGAAUUACUGGGCGUAAAGCGUGCGCAGGCGGUUAUGCAAGCCAGACGUGAAAGCCCCGGGCUUAACCUGGGAAUGGCGUUUGGGACUGCAUGGCUAGAGUACGUCAGAGGGGGGUGGAAUUCCACGUGUAGCAGUGAAAUGCGUAGAUAUCGGGAGGAACACCGGUGGCGAAGGCGGCGACCUGGGACGAUACUGACGCUGAGGUGCGAAAGCGUGGGAGCAAACAGG